CCUGGCGGCACUAGCGCGGUGGUCCCACCUGACCCCAUGCCGAACUCAGAAGUGAAACGCCGUAGCGCCGAUGGUAGUGUGGGGUCUCCCCAUGUGAGAGUAGGGAACUUGCAGUA
rnacentral:rRNA from 1 species